AACCCCUGUGACAUACCUAUACGUUGCCUCGGCGGAUCAGCCCGCGCCCCGUAAAAAGGGACGGCCCGCCCGAGGACCCCUAAACUCUGUUUUUAGUGGAACUUCUGAGUAAAACAAACAAAUAAAUCAAAACUUUCAACAACGGAUCUCUUGGUUCUGGCAUCGAUGAAGAACGCAGCAAAAUGCGAUAAGUAAUGUGAAUUGCAGAAUUCAGUGAAUCAUCGAAUCUUUGAACGCACAUUGCGCCCGCCAGUAUUCUGGCGGGCAUGCCUGUUCGAGCGUCAUUUCAACCCUCAAGCUCAGCUUGGUGUUGGGACUCGCGGUAACCCGCGUUCCCCAAAUCGAUUGGCGGUCACGUCGAGCUUCCAUAGCGUAGUAAUCAUACACCUCGUUACUGGUAAUCGUCGCGGCCACGCCGUAAAACCCCAACUUCUGAAUGUUGACCUCGGAUCAGGUAGGAAUACCCGCUGAACUUAAG
rnacentral:rRNA from 1 species